GAUGAACGCUGGCGGCGUGCCUAAUACAUGCAAGUCGAGCGGACGGGCGAGAAGCUUGCGGCUCUGAUGUUAGCGGCGGGCGGGUGAGUAACGCGUGGAUAACCUACCUAUCAGACUGGGAAAACUUCGGGAAACCGGAGCUUAUACCGUAUGAGAUUUUGAACCGCAUGGUUCGAAAGUGAGAGACGGUCUUGCGGUAACUACUAGCUGGAUACGCGCUGCAUUAGCUAGUUGUUAAGGUAACAGCCUACCAAGGCAACGAGGCAUGACCGAACUGAGAGGCUGAUAGGCGACAUUGGAGCUGAGACGGGGUCCUGACGCCUACGGGAGGCAGCAGUAGGGAAUGUUCCGCAGCAGUCGAAAGCCUGACGGAGCAACGGCGCGCGAGUUAUGAAGGUCCUCGGAUCGGAAAACUGUGUUACUAGGGAAGAACAUAUGUGGCAGUAACUGUGGCCAUCGUGACGGUACCGAAUCAGAAAGCCACGGCUAACUACGUG
rnacentral:rRNA from 1 species